rnacentral:rRNA from 1 species
AUUGAACGCUGGCGGCAGGCCUAACACAUGCAAGUCGAGCGGAUGAAGGGAGCUUGCUCCUGGAUUCAGCGGCGGACGGGUGAGUAAUGCCUAGGAAUCUGCCUGGUAGUGGGGGAUAACGUCCGAAACGGGCGCUAAUACCGCAUACGUCCUGAGGGAGAAAGUGGGGGAUCUUCGGACCUCACGCUAUCAGAUGAGCCUAGGUCGGAUUAGCUAGUUGGUGGGGUAAAGGCCUACCAAGGCGACGAUCCGUAACUGGUCUGAGAGGAUGAUCAGUCACACUGGAACUGAGACACGGUCCAGACUCCUACGGGAGGCAGCAGUGGGGAAUAUUGGACAAUGGGCGAAAGCCUGAUCCAGCCAUGCCGCGUGUGUGAAGAAGGUCUUCGGAUUGUAAAGCACUUUAAGUUGGGAGGAAGGGCAGUAAGUUAAUACCUUGCUGUUUUGACGUUACCAACAGAAUAAGCACCGGCUAACUUCGUG